UAUAAAUCUUGUUUUUAUUCAUCCAUCUAUUUGCAUGCACUGGAAUGCUUGUUCUACUACGCUGAACAUUUUUUAAAAACCACCAGAGUGCAUUGCUACCCUCUGUCGGCUAGGGUGGUGAACUGCACUUGGAAAGCAACAGACACUGAAAGAUCCCGUAUUCCAUCACAAGAUUCAAAAGAAAUCGUUAACGUUACGGACUGUUUGGAGGGACGCUAAAUGUGCAAAAUGCGCAAAAGGUAAGUUAUAGUUUGAUUUUUGAGUCUAGCUUUUCAAACGAGUUACACUGGAACACGCACGUAUGUUUACGUCUCUCACGUAUUUUACGUCCCCGAAUCACAGCGUAGCGUUUCACACGUGUGGCUUCGUCUUCUCAUCUACGAAACUUCACAGAUGUCUGCAGAGCCACUUUGCAGGAUGGAAGCUACGUCCAUUAUAUUCAGCCCGCUCUCGGCUGUCAAGUCGGCUGCAUUUCUCUUUGUGCAAGACGACGACCGUGAGGGCGACGGGCAGAACAGCCGUCACCUCAAUGUCUCCCUGGCUGAUCAUGAAUGAGACACUCGUAAAGAGCCACCAUCUCACCCACAAAUGACCAUCAGUUAUAGAGCACGAUGGCUUGACUGAUCAGCGCCAAUCUCUUAUUCGGGCCGCAUUCUUUUCCAGCUUUCCCGCGCACAUGUUCCACUCUUACUGUACAUUGUACUGGACUAUAAUAAAAUAA